CAGCAAGCCGCCUGCUUAACAAAGGCAGAGAAAGUAUCCAUAAGAUACUUUCUCUGCCUUUCUUUUUAUA
rnacentral:sRNA from 1 species